rnacentral:lncRNA from 1 species
AGCUGGUGGUGUAAUUCAGUCCAAAUCAGAAGGCCUGACAAUCAGAGGAGGCCAUGGUGCAUAUCUAAAUCCCAGUCUGAGAGCAGGACAAGACAAGAUGAGAUGUCCCAGCUCAGGCAGUGAGGUAAGAAAAAAAAAAGAAAAAGAGAAUGCUGCCCUCUUCCAGAUUUUUGUUCUAUACAGGCCCUCAAUAACUGAAUGACACUGAUAUGCUUUGGCUGUGUCCCAACCCAAAUCUCACCUUGAAUUGUA